rnacentral:rRNA from 1 species
GAAACCGGAGCUAAUACCGGAUAAUAUAUUGAACCGCAUGGUUCAAUAGUGAAAGACGGUUUUGCUGUCACUUAUAGAUGGAUCCGCGCCGCAUUAGCUAGUUGGUAAGGUAACGGCUUACCAAGGCAACGAUGCGUAGCCGGCCUGAGAGGGUGAUCGGCCACACUGGAACUGAGACACGGUCCAG